GACGAACGCUGGCGGCGUGCUUAACACAUGCAAGUCGAACGAUGACGCACUAGCUUGCUGGUGUGGCUUAGUGGCGAACGGGUGAGUAACACGUGAGUAACCUGCCCCUCACUCUGGGAUAAGCCUGGGAAACUGGGUUUACUACUGGAUACGAUCGAACCCCGCAUGGAGUGUUGGUGGUCAGUUUUUGUGGGGGGGGAUGGACGCGCGGCCUAUCAGCUUGUUGGUGGGGGAAUGGCCUACCAAGGCGACGACGGGUAGCCGACCUGAGAGGGCGACCGGCCACACUGGGACUGAGACACGGCCCAGACUCCUACGGGAGACAGCAGGGGGGAAUAUUGCACAAUGAGCGAAAGCCUGAGGCAGAGACGCCGCGUGAGUGAUGACGGCCUGCGGGUUGUAAACCUCUUUCGCCAGGGACGAAGCUAACGUGACGGUACCUGAAGAAGAAGCACCGGCUAACUACGUG
rnacentral:rRNA from 1 species